UACGGAGGGGGCAAGCGUUGUUCGGAAUUACUGGGCGUAAAGGGCGCGCAGGCGGCUGCUCAAGUCAGGCGUGAAAGGCCUGGGCUCAACCCGGGAAUUGCGCUUGAGACUGGGCUGGCUUGAGUGCGGGAGAGGAUGGUGGAAUUCCACGUGUAGCAGUGAAAUGCGUAGAUAUGUGGAGGAACACCGAUGGCGAAGGCAGCCCCCUGGGCUAGUACUGACGCUCAUGCACGAAAGCGUGGGGAGCAAACAGG
rnacentral:rRNA from 1 species